GGUGGCUCAGUGGUAGAGCACUUGCUUUGCAUGCAUGAAGCCCUAGGUUCGAUCCUCAGCACCA
rnacentral:tRNA from 1 species